CAGAAAAUUCAAGAAUAAUUGAAAAUAUUACUUCUACACACAGCUAAUGAGAGGAAAACGUCAUGUAUAGAGUCAUGGCGAACAAACAUCUCUCAGGUCAAUGUCAAUGAUCGUUUGUAUGACGAACUAUCAUUUGUACAGUGCAUAUUCUUUAUCGGUGUAACAACUUUUUCUAAUAGUUUGACAUUGCAUUUUGGAGUAUUGAUGACGACAUAGUAGAUGAUCAAAGAGUUGCAAAAUGGAAAAUGCUGUAGCCAGGAGGGCACAAUGGUUAACAGAAUGCACGUACGAAUGGUAGAACGAAUGCACGAACGCACAAACCGAUGACUUAAUAGUCUUUGCUUCAUUAAUCGGAGUAUUGAAAAAUUUAGUGUUUCAAGACUCAAUAUAUUGUGAUCAAUCAUAAGGUUUUAGGUGGUAUUUUUUUUUUACUGUUGUUGCCAUUCCGAAUUCUUUGUUCUGUUCAUAGUGAUAUAUGUCUUUUUAUAAAAAUUUUGCAUCUUCUAAUGUUCUUCUGACUAUGAAUAAUACGUCUUUAAAAUGAUAAAUCAAAUUUUUAAAUCCAAAGAUAUUUUUUGUGAACCUACCAAUUUGUUUAAACAUUACAUCUCAUUGAUGAUUGAAAUGUUAAUCCAUUAGGCCUAAUUUUUAUCUGAAAAUAAAGGCAGA